UACGUAGGUGGCGAGCGUUGUCCGGAAUUACUGGGCGUAAAGGGUGCGUAGGUGGUUUCUUAAGUCAGAGGUGAAAGGCUACGGCUCAACCGUAGUAAGCCUUUGAAACUGGGAAACUUGAGUGCAGGAGAGGAGAGUGGAAUUCCUAGUGUAGCGGUGAAAUGCGUAGAUAUUAGGAGGAACACCAGUGGCGAAGGCGGCUUUCUGGCCAGUUACUGACGCUCAUGCGCGAAAGCUGGGGUAGCGAACCGGAUUAGAUACCCCGGUAGUCCCUGAGCGGGCU
rnacentral:rRNA from 1 species